UUCCUUUAGAACUUGGUUCUGGAGAGCAGUGGAUCUCAAGAGACGCCUGGCAGUGGUGCCUUGGGCCAUGGCCUCUGACCUGGAUUUCUCGCCUCCCGAAGUGCCUGAGCCCACCUUCCUGGAGAACUUGCUGCGGUAUGGGCUCUUCCUGGGAGCCAUCUUCCAGCUCAUCUGUGUCCUGGCCAUCAUCGUACCCAUUCCCAAGUCCCAGGAGGCGGAGGCAGAACCGUCUGAGCCCAGGAGUGCAGAGGUGCCCAAGAAGCCCAAGGCUCCCAUCCCUUCCACCAACAAGAGGCCAAAGAAGGAGACCAAAAAGAAGCGGUAGACUCAGAGGCCUGAGGAGCCCAAGGCCCUAGCCUUGGGGACAGCCCUCCUGGGAACCAGCAUCCUGUUUGCUCUCAAAGACUGUCUCUCUCCUUGGCUCAGAGUCUGAGAUGAUUGAAACUCCCUUGACUGCAGAGAUCUGAGCAGUCGCUAAGCCCCAGCUGUGCAGACCACCACUUCCUCUUCCUUCUCUCUUGUGGUACACAAGAGAUUCCCGAGACCAAGCACUGCUCUGAGGGUUCUGAAGUCAGAUCAAGCUCACAGGGCAAACUAUUCACAUUAGUCCUCUAGCCCAAUGCGUCACUAAGUGUGGAAUUGUUGCCUAAGGCUGCAGACACACCCUCUCCCAUGGCUUGGCCACAUUUGUUACUUCUGUAUGCACAGAACUUCUCGUGAGUUCAGGUCAGGAUGCAUGGCUCUGCAGUGUGGAGCUAGCCCACUCACUGCAGCAGCCAGGUCCUGAAGAUGUUGGGGGUUGGUGGGGGAGGGACAGUCGAAGGCCUGGGCCCAGUGAUGCCUGCAGGAGAAGGUACUGGCUGAAUGAGGCCAGAUUUCCCGAGCACAGCCUUUGUAAGCCUUUGAAGUAGGCUUGUCACUUUCAGACCAACCUCUUUGUAACCCAUUUUAACAUUCAAAGUGCCUUUGACUUCAGCCUGUCCUCCCCACAUCUCUCAUUCCCUGACCAGUAAAGGAAAUGAUGUGGAGAAGUCAAAGCAAAUAAAGUGUCCCGCAUGCUGA
rnacentral:lncRNA from 1 species